rnacentral:rRNA from 1 species
AUACGAUCUAUGGAUGAAAGCGGGGGACCGUAAGGCCUCGCGCGAUUUGGAGCGGCCGAUGUCAGAUUAGCUAGUUGGUGGGGUAAAGGCCCACCAAGGCGACGAUCUGUAGCUGGUCUGAGAGGACGAUCAGCCACACUGGGACUGAGACACGGCCCAGACUCCUACGGGAGGCAGCAGUGGGGAAUUUUGGACAAUGGGGGCAACCCUGAUCCAGCAAUGCCGCGUGAGUGAAGAAGGCCUUCGGGUUGUAAAGCUCUUUUGUCAGGGAAGAAACAGCAGCUCUAACACAGUCUGCGAAUGACGGUACCUGAAGAAUAAGCACCGGCUAACUACGUG